rnacentral:tRNA from 1 species
GCUCGCGCCUCAAAGAGUCUUAAAUCAGCGGACUUAUAAUCCGCCACUUACCCGAGAGCGGGCGCACCGGUUCGAUUCCGGUCUCGAGCACCA